UGGGGGAUAUUGCACAAUGGGCGAAAGCCUGAUGCAGCGACGCCGCGUGGGGGAUGAAGGCCUUCGGGUUGUAAACUUCUUUUGCUCUGAACAAGGCAUGCCUUUGGGGUGUGUUGAGUGUAGGGGUUGAUUAGCGCCGGCUAACUACGUGCCAGCAGCCGCGGUAAUACGUAGGGCGCGAGCGUUGUCCGGAAUUAUUGGGCGUAAAGGGCUUGUAGGUGGCUGGUUGCGUCUGUCGUGAAAGCUCAUGGCUUAACUGUGGGUUUGCGGUGGGUACGGGCUGGCUUGAGUGCAGUAGGGGAGGCUGGAAUUCCUGGUGUAGCGGUGGAAUGCGCAGAUAUCAGGAGGAAUACCGGUGGCGAAGGCGAGUCUCUGGGCUGUUACUGACGCUGAGGAGCGAAAGCGUGGGGAGCGAACAGG
rnacentral:rRNA from 1 species